rnacentral:rRNA from 1 species
GAUGAACGCUGGCGGCGUGCCUAAUACAUGCAAGUCGAGCGAACGGACGCGAAGCUUGCUUCUCUGAUGUUAGCGGCGGACGGGUGAGUAACACGUGGAUAACCUACCUAUAAGACUGGGAUAACUUCGGGACACCGGAGCUAAUACCGGAUAAUAUUUUGAACCGCAUGGUUCAAAAGUGAAAGACGGUCUUGCUGUCACUUAUAGAUGGAUCCGCGCUGCAUUAGCUAGUUGGUAAGGUAACGGCUUACCAAGGCAACGAUGCAUAGCCGACCUGAGAGGGUGAUCGGCCACACUGGAACUGAGACACGGUCCAGACUCCUACGGGAGGCAGCAGUAGGGAAUCUUCCGCAAUGGGCGAAAGCCUGACGGAGCAACGCCGCGUGAGUGAUGAAGGUCUUCGGAUCGUAAAACUCUGUUAUUAGGGAAGAACAUAUGUGUAAGUAACUGUGCACAUCUUGACGGUACCUAAUCAGAAAGCCACGGCUAACUACGUG